GGCCUAGUCGUCAAGGUUGGUUAAGACAUAACAUUUUCACUGUUACAUCGGGAGUUCAAAUCUCUCCUGGGCUA
rnacentral:tRNA from 1 species